CAGCCUGUUCCCAAGGGCUGCGGCUGGUUGUAGCCAUAGGCUCUCCAGCUGCAUGCCAGAGCGACCUGGGGAGGCUUUGACAGCUCAGUGAGCAUAACACCUGCAGCUGCCACUCGCCCUUCCUGUACCC